CGCAUUGUGGUUCCUUUUCUUUCUUUUUUUGUUCUUGGACUGCCUGUACAUAUUAUUCAUUAUAACGUAUGUAUACAAAAAUUAGCAUACAUUUCAGAAAUAUGUAUUUGUUACAGAUCAGGUGGGUUAAUGUGCUUGAACAGCUGCCAUGUCACAAUUCAAUGUGUUUGUUCAGAACUAAUGUUGCAGCAAUCUCAAGUCCUUCUGUGCAACAUGACACUUAACCCCUAAAGGAAAAGCUUAUACAUGCUGUGAGAGAACAAAAUUUGAUUCUCAAGCCAUUUCUGACUAGAUAUAAUGAAAGAAGCUUGUACUCUGUAAACUUUUCUGAGAAGUAAUCGCAUGGCUCGGCACUGUUUUAGUUUGAAAUGCCCAAUAGACCGAUCUCUCACGACGCCCACAGCACACCCCCAUGCUACUUUUCACUGCCUCACGAUUAUGCUACGGUAUGAAGGAACUUUGAGCCGAGUGUUGAGGCAAGCCACAUUGUGGAUCUCUCCCAUGGUUUUCAUUGCCGUUACUGGC
rnacentral:lncRNA from 1 species